UAGGGAAUCUUCCACAAUGGGCGCAAGCCUGAUGGAGCAACACCGCGUGAGUGAAGAAGGGUUUCGGCUCGUAAAGCUCUGUUGUUAAAGAAGAACACGUAUGAGAGUAACUGUUCAUACGUUGACGGUAUUUAACCAGAAAGUCACGGCUAAAUACGUACCAG
rnacentral:rRNA from 1 species